GCAAAUUAUCCUUUAGUUGUUGUUUUAGUUUGCAAAUAAUAUACAUUUAGUACUUCAUGCAUGUGUCCAACCAUUCGAUGUGAUGGGUGAUAAAAAAUAACAUGGACUCAGUCACUAUAGUAUUUUUCAUUUUAUUUUUAUUUUAUUUAGUAAUUAGUGUUCAUGUGUCCAACCAUUCGAUGUGAUGGGUGAUAAAAAAUAACAUGGACUUAGUCACUAUAGUAUUUUUCAUUUUAUUUUUAUUUUAUUUAGUAAUUAGUGUUCAAUCAUGAACUAAUUAAGUUUAAAAGGUUCGUGUCGUGAUUUGUAGAUAAACUGUAUAAUUAGUUUUUAUAUUUAUCUAUGUUUAAUGCUUUAUGCAUGUAUCCAAAGAUUUGAUGUGAGAGGUAAAAAGUUUUUAGGUGGGGAACUAAACAUUGCCUAGAGAUUUUUUUUGGUAAAAUUAUUAUUUUUUAACUCCUGCCCCUGUAAUUUAUAAUUUUUUAUUUUCUACUGAUGAAGUAAAAGGUAACUUAAAAAGAAGAUUACAGAAUCAACACAUUGUUGUCCAAAUAUAUGUAGUAACAAUUUCAUGUCAAGUAGUGUUGCUGUCUCCUGAAACAUGGAUAUAUUAAUAUAUAUUACACACAAAUGUCAUCAGUUGUCCUUCGCUUUUAGAAAAUGAGAACGUGAAAAAAUUGUGAUGGCUCCUGUGACUCCUGUCAUCACAUCAACACUAUAGCAUGAACUAUACCAACAAAGCUAGCUUUAGUCCCGGAGCAAGUUAUUGUGGUAUAAUUAAGCAGCAAUACAUAAAUUCAUUAUGAAUUUCAUUCUACUGAUAUUGAAUUACUUUAUCCAAUGCAAGAUGGUCUCUAUGCUUCAACCAUAUAUGUUGGGCCACUACUAGUACCUGGUAAAAAAAAAAUUCGAGACAAAUCCAUGCAUACAUUUGAGAUGUGGUAAAGUCGAUGCAUUCAUCCUUUGAGAAGCGGACAAGACGAAGAUCUCAGUACUGUUCUGGACAAACGAGAAAGUACACUGUGCCUGCAAGUACUACGCUGCGCCUGUAAUAAUAACACAAAAAUGAACCAAAAUAUUGCAGAGCUAUUUAAAUAACAAAAAAAACUAAAUUUAGCAACUAAGCCUAGUUCCUAGUUCUAGAUUAGCUAGAGAAAUAUACCUAGCAAAAGAGAAAGAGAAGUGCAUUAUGAGAAUCAAACUUUGUUUCUCGUUAUAGGAAUAACUAACUAGCAGCAAAUGAGCAUACGGCAAUGGCUACGGCAUUUACCAAACGGGGAUCUAGCUUCACACACCGAUCUGGCCCCAAACGAUACCCUGUAGUUGCAGCUCUCUCUUUUUUACUCUAUAUACUAAAAAAUCUUAAACACCCCCCUCCCUAAUAAGCAUGCGGAGCAUAAGAAAGAUUUCCCCAACACCAAGAAUAGUUCAGGAGGCACUGCGGAUUAAUUGCUUUAGGGGGAAAAAAUCUGAAUCAGGAGCUUAGGACGGCAAAGGAGAAACGGAGACGUAACAAAGGUUAAGAUCCAGACUAUUGUUCAGAGCCUCACAAAUUAACAAAACUAAUAAGUAUGCACUAAGUUAACAUCAAAGAUAUAUACAUAACAAAACUGAAGAUUAUUGGUAUUGAGGUAGAUGAUUUCAUGCAGGAGCGUUUGAGCAAAUUAAAGGGAGCACCCUUCAGUCCAACCAUAAACAGCGUAGAGCUUGAUUUUAGCUCCCGCGCCACCCACUCGGCUACCAAGACCAAACCUAUCGCUUGUCCAUGGUUCUUGGUAGGUGAAUGGAUGAGUCGGCAGCUAAUGAAACUCUACAGCCAUUUUAGAGUGGACUGAAGAGAGCUCUCUUCCAGAGAAGCCACAAACCCAAAUAAAGGCCAUAUCAGAUGAACAAACACCAGCAGUGCAUCUGCAUAUUCUGAACGCAGCGUAUGUGUAUCAUCACGACAUCCCCUAGCUAGCUAGAGGGGACACACACACACACACACACACACACACACACACACACACACACACACACACACACACACACACACACACACACACAGAGGCAGCUUGAUACUGCAGGAUGCAUGCCAGUAAAAGAAACCAGAUUUUUAACAUCUCAGAGGAGAACACAAACAAUGGAGUAACUCAAAGAGCUUACGAGUCAACGAGAACGGCAGACAAUAAUAUGGAGGAGAGAAACGCUGAGACACGAUACCACCGGAACCGGAAGAGACUAGAGAGGAACAGGCCGUUUAUUGGUCUUCUGGGGAAUGCU
rnacentral:lncRNA from 1 species